GAUGAACGCUAGCUACAGGCUUAACACAUGCAAGUCGAGGGGAAACGGCAUUUAGUGCUUGCACCGAAUGGACGUCGACCGGCGCACGGGUGAGUAACGCGUAUCCAACCUUCCCAUAACUAAGGGAUAACCUGCCGAAAGGUAGACUAAUACCUUAUGUAAUCCUUUGAUGGCAUCAGAUAAGGAUAAAAGAUUUAUCGGUUAUGGAUGGGGAUGCGUCUGAUUAGCUUGUUGGCGGGGUAACGGCCCACCAAGGCAACGAUCAGUAGGGGUUCUGAGAGGAAGGUCCCCCACAUUGGAACUGAGACACGGUCCAAACUCCUACGGGAGGCAGCAGUGAGGAAUAUUGGUCAAUGGACGGAAGUCUGAACCAGCCAAGUAGCGUGCAGGAAGACGGCCCUAUGGGUUGUAAACUGCUUUUGUAUGGGGAUAAAGUCAAUCACGUGUGAUUGUUUGCAGGUACCAUACGAAUAAGGACCGGCUAAUUCCGUGCCAGCAGCCGCGGUAAUACGGAAGGUUCGGGCGUUAUCCGGAUUUAUUGGGUUUAAAGGGAGCGUAGGCCGGAGAUUAAGUGUGUUGUGAAAUGUAGACGCUCAACGUCUGACUUGCAGCGCAUACUGGUUUCCUUGAGUACGCACAACGUUGGCGGAAUUCGUCGUGUAGCGGUGAAAUGCUUAGAUAUGACGAAGAACUCCGAUUGCGAAGGCAGCUGACGGGAGCGCAACUGACGCUGAAGCUCGAAGGUGCGGGUAUCGAACAGG
rnacentral:rRNA from 1 species